UUAAAUUGAUAUGUAUAGUGGGUUGACCCAGGCUAGACACCAGGUGCCCAGCCAAAGCCACUCUGUCACUCCGCUCCUCAGCUGAACAGGGGAGAAAAAAUACAACAAAAGGCUCA